AGAUCGAAAUUGAUCGAAAUCGAGUCGCGUUCCGCGACGUGCGCGAAUCAAAUUUGAAUUGGCGGCGUCGAUGAGUAAGCGGUGAGCGUCGUGUUUCGCGUUCGCGUUGUUGUUAGUGUUGUUACUCGCUCGUCCGAAGUUUAUCCGUCCGAGGAGUGCGUUGUGUCGGUAGUGCGACAAUGUGCGACAAUCGAGUCGCGCGCGAUGUUACUCAUAUGACGCAAUUUUUUAUGGAUCAGUUGCGAAAGGUAAAUAAAAGCUUUCGCGUUUUGAGACCGGCAGGCGCGUCUUGACGUACAGGUUAGGUUUCCGUGAUAUCCGAAGAUUUCACCGCGCUCACUGGAAAAUCGGUCGUCGUGCGCGAUAUUCGUGUCCCGGAAGUGUCGACAAAAUGACAAAGAGCCGGUAAUUGUGUCUUGCCUACUGGUCAAGCGAGCGGACAUUUUCGGAGGGAUUGAGCUGCCGGUAGGAGGAAAGCGGUGAAUCCGGCUGUGAUCGCAUAUCGGCUGCACGCAUUUUACGUCGUUCUCGAAAUACGUCUGAAUACGGAGUACAUACCGCUUGUAUGCUUCCCUGAGACGACUAUGCUCCUGUCGAUCUUCCCUGCUUCUCCGAUGUAUUUUGAUUUCUCGCGGAGCUCUGAGUUCCUUCGUACAAAGUUCUCUCGGUGGAAUCAGUGGGGAAAUCACCGCGUUAUAUGUGUACACAGCGUAGCUCUCCUGCAAAAUUGAUAGCGCGACAGCCAGCGGAAAUGGCGUGGUAAUGUCCUACCUACGCCAAAUAAUGAUCUUUGAAGAAGGAAACGGUGCGUGGACCGCAUCUCUUUCGGUGAGUCUUUUUCUUUACGAUAUCAAACGAGACAUAAAUGUGGAGAUCUGGUAGACCCGAGGCAAUUAUUUUUAAUAUACUUUAGAUUUAUAGCGGGAAAGGGUUACAGGCGAGGCGAGGAUCUCGUUUCGCCUCCCUUUCCGUUUCUCGCGUUCUGACUUUUAUCGGUUUUUUUUGUUCACAAAGUAUACAAGCGCAACUAGUUAUCUCCACCCU